GAUGAACGCUGGCGGCGUGCCUAAUACAUGCAAGUCGAGCGAACAGACGAGGAGCUUGCUCCUCUGACGUUAGCGGCGGACGGGUGAGUAACACGUGGAUAACCUACCUAUAAGACUGGGAUAACUUCGGGAAACCGGAGCUAAUACCGGAUAAUAUAUUGAACCGCAUGGUUCAAUAGUGAAAGACGGUUUUGCUGUCACUUAUAGAUGGAUCCGCGCCGCAUUAGCUAGUUGGUAAGGUAACGGCUUACCAAGGCAACGAUGCGUAGCCGACCUGAGAGGGUGAUCGGCCACACUGGAACUGAGACACGGUCCAGACUCCUACGGGAGGCAGCAGUAGGGAAUCUUCCGCAAUGGGCGAAAGCCUGACGGAGCAACGCCGCGUGAGUAAUGAAGGUCUUCGGAUCGUAAAACUCUGUUAUUAGGGAAGAACAAAUGUGUAAGUAACUAUGCACGUCUUGACGGUACCUAAUCAGAAAGCCACGGCUAACUACGU
rnacentral:rRNA from 1 species